UACGUAGAAGACUAGUGUUAUUCAUCUUUAAUAGGUUUAAAGGGUACCUAGACGGUAUAAUUAGUCUAAAAAUAAGAUACGGUUAUACUAGAGUUAUAUAUGAGGAGGUGAGUAUUUAUGGAGUAGAGUUGAAAUUUGUUGAUCCCAUAACGACUGGUAUCGGCGAAAGCAACCUUUUAUCUAAUAACUGACGUUGAGGGACGAAGGCUCGGGUAACGAACAGG
rnacentral:rRNA from 1 species